CGCAAACAUCAGCUCAUCCUACAGUGACAGAGACCAACGAGAGCACUAAAUUUAACGGCUUUUCAGCUGCUGAUUGAUGGCCUAGAAGCAGGAAACAUGGGCAAGCGUAAGGAUUUGACUGACUUUGACAAGGGCCAAAUUGUGAUGGCUAGACGACUGGGUCAGAGCAUCUCCAAAACUGCAGCUCUUGUGGGGUGUUCCCGGUCUGCAGUGGUCAGUAUCUAUCAGAAGUGGUCCAAGGAGGGAACAGUGGUGAACCAUCGGCAGGGUCAUGGGCGACCGAGGCUGAUUGAUGCAUGUGGGGAGCAAAGGCUGGCCCAUGUGGUCCAAUCCAAUACACGAGCUACUGUAGCUCAAAUUGCCGAAAGAUUUAAUGCUGGUUCUGAUAAAAAGGUGUCAGAAUACACAGUGCAUCGCAGUUUGUUGCGUAUGGGACUUUGAUGCUUUGAGCAAUGUUCUGCUGGGAAACCUCGGGUUCUGCCAUCCAUCCAUUUGGUGUUACUUUCCAGACACUUCUCUGGAUCGUCGAUGAACAUCCCGAGUACACCACCUGUAAGAUAACCUCAGAGCUGAACAGACACCUCUGUCAUAUGGUCUCUGUAAAGGUAUCUUUGCAGAUAUUGGCAUCUUUCGAGGAGCAGCCAAUCAGAAACCAGAGAUAGAAACUGAUUCCCCAAAGUUCGAUAGAAAGAACAGUGAGCCUUACAAAGAAUGUGAUGCAAAGACUCUGUCUGAACCCCAGGGUGUUGUGCACAACACAGAAGAAGCUGAACCUCAAAUCUGAAUGUGAAAAAGGUCACUACUCCCAAAGUUUCAUGACUGGAAUAAAGAACCUGAACCUCAGACUAAUUAAAAGGAAUUACUUCA